rnacentral:rRNA from 1 species
GACAGAGGGUGCAAACGUUGUUCGGAAUUACUGGGCGUAAAGGGCGCGUAGGCGGCCUUCUAAGUCGAACGUGAAAUCCCCGGGCUCAACCCGGGAACUGCGUCCGAUACUGGAAGGCUUGAAUCCGGGAGAGGGAUGCGGAAUUCCAGGUGUAGCGGUGAAAUGCGUAGAUAUCUGGAGGAACACCGGUGGCGAAGGCGGCAUCCUGGACCGGCAUUGACGCUGAGGCGCGAAAGCGUGGGGAGCAAACAGG